rnacentral:rRNA from 1 species
UACGGAGGGUGCAAGCGUUAUCCGGAUUCACUGGGUUUAAAGGGUGCGUAGGUGGGUUGGUAAGUCAGUGGUGAAAUCUCCGAGCUUAACUUGGAAACUGCCAUUGAUACUAUUAGUCUUGAAUAUUGUGGAGGUCAGCGGAAUAUGUCAUGUAGCGGUGAAAUGCUUAGAGAUGACAUAGAACACCAAUUGCGAAGGCAGCUGGCUACACA